rnacentral:rRNA from 1 species
CCUACGGGAGGCAGCAGUGAGGAAUAUUGGUCAAUGGACGAGAGUCUGAACCAGCCAAGUAGCGUGAAGGAUGACUGCCCUAUGGGUUGUAAACUUCUUUUAUAUGGGAGUAAAAUGUUCCACGUGUGGGAUUUUGUAUGUACCAUAUGAAUAAGGAUCGGCUAACCUCGUGCCAGCAGCCGCGGUAAUACGGAGGAUCCGAGCGUUAUCCGGAUGUAUUGGGUUUAAAGGGAGCCGAGGUGGGUCGUUAAGUCAGGUGGGAAAGUUUGCGGCUCAACCGUAAAAUGGCAGUUGAAACUGGCAGUCUUGAGUGCAGUAGAGGUGGGCGGAAUGCGUGGUGUAGCGGUGAAAUGCUUAGAUAUCACGAAGAACUCCGAUUGCGAAGGCAGCUCUCUGGACUGCAACUGACGCUGAGGCUCGAAAGUGUGGGUAUCAAACAGGAUUAGAUACCCGAGUAGUC